rnacentral:lncRNA from 1 species
AUGACGGAGCUGGGGGCCCCUGUCAGCACCCACUGCCGCCCUCUCUUUCCCUGGCGUGGUGACCUUGAAGGUGUCAAGGCCACAGUGAUGCUUUGGGUCCAAACAGUGGAAACAGCCAUGGUGGAAACCACUCUGAAUGCAGUUUGCCAGCCGGUGAGGAGUAAGGAGCAGGGAAAACGGAAGAUGAUGGAGAUCCCGGAGGAACCCCUCCCCCUUCAUCUCAUCGGAGACAAAGGACCCGUCCAGGUCCAGCCAAAACGUAGCAACACCACCACCGUGCUCAGGGCCCGGGCGGCAGCCUGGAGAUCAUCUGAUGCAGAGAUGGAAACCGACCUUUGUCACUCAACCGUGGGUCAAAAGGCCCAAAAGUGAUCUGAAGGGGAAGAGAAAAGUGGGGCCCAUUCAUUCAGUGGAAGCAGAUGAAGGAGAACAGUGCUGUGCAGCCUACAUCAUUAACCAAUCACACGUAUGGCGUAUGAUUUGAAUCCUUUUGAAUGUAUCAAAAAUAUGUUUAAGGGGCGCCCGGGUUGCUCAGUCGGUUAAGCAUCUGACUCUUGACUUCAGCUCAGGUCAUGAGCUCAGGGUUGUGAGUUGGAGCCCCGUGUUCUCUUUAUCCCUCUGCCCCUUCCUCUGCUCUCUCCCUCUCUAAAAAAGAAAGAAAGAAAAAAAAAAUAAAAGAAAAACCCACAAAGAAAAAAAAAGAAAGAAAAAAGUUUAUAACCCAGAAUAUAAUCUAUCUUUGUAUCAGUUCUGUGCACAUUUGGGAAGAAUGUGUGAUCAGCUGGUGUUGGUCAGAAUGUCUCAUAAAUAAUAGUCCAGUCAAAUUUGUUGAUACAGUUGUUUCAAUCUCCACCUUUGCUGAUGUGUUGCCCAUGUGUUCUAGUCAAUUAUUUUUUAAAGAUUUUAUUUAUUUAUUCAUGAGAGACACACAGAAAGAGGCAGAGACACAGGCAGAGGGAGAAGCAGGCUCCCUUCAGGGAGCCUGAUGCCGGACUUGAUCCUGCGACCCUGGGGUCAUGCCCUGGGCUGAAGGCAGACGCUAAACCGCUGAGCCGCCCAGCUGCCCUUGUUCUAUACAAUUAUUGAGAGAGAGGUGUGAUGAUUAAUUUUAUGUGUCCACUUGGCAAGGUAAUGGUGCCCAUUGCUUGGUAAAACAUCAGUCUAGAUGUUGCUGUGGAGCUAAUUUUUAUUUUAUUUAUUUUAAAAAUUUAUUAAUUUGAGAGAGAAAGAGGGAGCGAAUGAGCAGGGAGAGACGGAGGGAAUCUGAAGCCGACUCCCCACUGAGCACAGAUACUGAUGUGAGGCUCCAUCCCACGCCCCUGAGGUCAGGACCUGAGCCAAAAUCAAGAGUCCAACGGUUAACCAACUAAGCCACCCAGGCGCCCCACAGUGGAGGUAAAUUUUAGGUGUGUUUAACAUUUAUAUAUAUAUUUGACAUAUAAUGGAACAUUACCCAGCCAUCAAAAAAAAAGUAAUAUCUUGCCAUUUCCAACAAUGUGGAUGGUAAGCAAAAUAAGCAGAGAAAGACAAAUACCAUAUGAUUUCAUUCAUAUGUGGAAUUUAGGAAAUAAAACAGAUGAACAGAUGGGAAGAAAAAUAAAAGAGGGAGAGGGAAGUAAACCAUUAGAGACUCUUAACCAUAGAGAACAAACUAAGGGCUGAUGGAGGCAGGUGAUGGGGGAUGGGCUAAAUGGGUGCCGGGGACUGUUAAGAGGGCACCUGUCACGAGCGCUGGGUGCUGUAAGCGAUGGAUCACUGAAUUCCGCUCCGGAAACCAGUAUUGCACUAUACGUUAAUUAGAAUUUAAACAAAAAUUUGAAAAAGAAAAACGAUAAUACAGAAAG